rnacentral:rRNA from 1 species
GUUAUAUGGUCAAGUGAAGAAGCGCAUACGGUGGAUGCCUUGGCAGUCAGAGGCGAUGAAAGACGUGGUAGCCUGCGAAAAGCUUCGGGGAGUCGGCAAACAGACUUUGAUCCGGAGAUGUCUGAAUGGGGGAACCCAGCCAUCAUAAGAUGGUUAUCUUGUACUGAAUACAUAGGUGCAAGAGGCGAACCAGGGGAACUGAAACAUCUAAGUACCCUGAGGAAAAGAAAUCAACCGAGAUUCCCUUAGUAGUGGCGAGCGAACGGGGACUAGCCCUUAAGCUUCUUUGAUUUUAGCGGAACGCUCUGGAAAGUGCGGCCAUAGUGGGUGAUAGCCCUGUACGCGAAAGGAUCUUAGAAGUGAAAUCGAGUAGGACGGAGCACGAGAAACUUUGUCUGAAUAUGGGGGGACCAUCCUCCAAGGCUAAAUACUACUGACUGACCGAUAGUGAACCAGUACCGUGAGGGAAAGGCGAAAAGAACCCCGGAGAGGGGAGUGAAAUAGAUCCUGAAACCGUAUGCGUACAAGCAGUGGGAGCAGACUUCGUUCUGUGACUGCGUACCUUUUGUAUAAUGGGUCAGCGACUUAUUUUCAGUGGCGAGCUUAACCGAAUAGGGGAGGCGUAGCGAAAGCGAGUCUUAAUAGGGCGUCUAGUCGCUGGGAAUAGACCCGAAACCGGGCGAUCUAUCCAUGGGCAGGUUGAAGGUUAGGUAACACUGACUGGAGGACCGAACCGACUACCGUUGAAAAGUUAGCGGAUGACCUGUGGAUCGGAGUGAAAGGCUAAUCAAGCUCGGAGAUAGCUGGUUCUCCUCGAAAGCUAUUUAGGUAGCGCCUCAUGUAUCACUGUAGGGGGUAGAGCACUGUUUCGGCUAGGGGGUCAUCCCGACUUACCAAACCGAUGCAAACUCCGAAUACCUACAAGUGCCGAGCAUGGGAGACACACGGCGGGUGCUAACGUCCGUCGUGAAAAGGGAAACAACCCAGACCGUCAGCUAAGGUCCCAAAGUUAUGGUUAAGUGGGAAACGAUGUGGGAAGGCUUAGACAGCUAGGAGGUUGGCUUAGAAGCAGCCACCCUUUAAAGAAAGCGUAAUAGCUCACUAGUCGAGUCGGCCUGCGCGGAAGAUGUAACGGGGCUCAAACCAUACACCGAAGCUACGGGUAUCACGUAAGUGAUGCGGUAGAGGAGCGUUCUGUAAGCCUGUGAAGGUGAGUUGAGAAGCUUGCUGGAGGUAUCAGAAGUGCGAAUGCUGACAUGAGUAACGACAAUGGGUGUGAAAAACACCCACGCCGAAAGACCAAGGUUUCCUGCGCAACGUUAAUCGACGCAGGGUUAGUCGGUCCCUAAGGCGAGGCUGAAAAGCGUAGUCGAUGGAAAACAGGUUAAUAUUCCUGUACUUCUGGUUAUUGCGAUGGAGGGACGGAGAAGGCUAGGCCAGCUUGGCGUUGGUUGUCCAAGUUUAAGGUGGUAGGCUGAAAUCUUAGGUAAAUCCGGGAUUUCAAGGCCGAGAGCUGAUGACGAGUUACCCUUUGGGUGACGAAGUGGUUGAUGCCAUGCUUCCAAGAAAAGCUUCUAAGCUUCAGAUAACCAGGAACCGUACCCCAAACCGACACAGGUGGUUGGGUAGAGAAUACCAAGGCGCUUGAGAGAACUCGGGUGAAGGAACUAGGCAAAAUGGCACCGUAACUUCGGGAGAAGGUGCGCCGGUGAGGGUGAAGCACUUGCUGCGUAAGCCCACGCCGGUCGAAGAUACCAGGCCGCUGCGACUGUUUAUUAAAAACACAGCACUCUGCAAACACGAAAGUGGACGUAUAGGGUGUGACGCCUGCCCGGUGCCGGAAGGUUAAUUGAUGGGGUUAGCUAACGCGAAGCUCUUGAUCGAAGCCCCGGUAAACGGCGGCCGUAACUAUAACGGUCCUAAGGUAGCGAAAUUCCUUGUCGGGU